rnacentral:rRNA from 1 species
GACGAACGCUGGCGGCGUGCCUAAUACAUGCAAGUAGAACGCUGAAGGAGGAGCUUGCUCUUCUGGAUGAGUUGCGAACGGGUGAGUAACGCGUAGGUAACCUGCCUGGUAGCGGGGGAUAACUAUUGGAAACGAUAGCUAAUACCGCAUAAGAGUAGAUGUUGCAUGACAUUUACUUAAAAGUUGCAAUUGCAUCACUACCAGAUGGACCUGCGUUGUAUUAGCUAGUUGGUGGGGUAACGGCUUACCAAGGCUACGAUACAUAGCCGACCUGUGAGGGGGAUCGGCCACACUGGGACUGAGACACGGCCCAGACGCCUACGGGAGGCAGCAGUAGGGAAUCUUCGGCAAUGGACGGAAGGCUGACCGAGCAACGCCGCGUGAGUGAAGAAGGUUUUCGGAUCGUAAAGCUCUGUUGUAAGAGAAGAACGAGUGUGAGAGUGGAAAGUUCACACUGUGACGGUAUCUUACCAGAAAGGGACGGCUAACUACGUG